AACCAGCACCUCAAGUGGUCAGGAGGAUUAUUGGGCCUAAGCAUCCGUAGCCGGCUCUGUAAGUUUUCGGUUAAAUUCAUGUGCUCAACGCAUGGGCUGUCGAAAAUACUGCAUAGCUAGGGAGUGGGAGAGGUAGACGGUACUCGGUAGGAAGGGGUAAAAUCCUUUGAUCUAUCGAUGACCACCUGUGGCGAAGGCGGUCUACCAGAACACGUUCGACGGUGAGGGAUGAAAGCUGGGGGAGCAAACCGG
rnacentral:rRNA from 1 species